rnacentral:tRNA from 4 species
GUGGGUGUAGCUCAUUUGGUUAGAGCGCGUCCCUGUGGAGGAUGAGGCAGGCGGUUCAAAUCCGCUCACCCACCCA